CAAUAGCGUAUAUUAAAGUUGUUGCAGUUAAAAAGCUCGUAGUUGGACAUCGGGCGCGUGCGCAUGGUCCGCCGAAAGGUGUGCACCGUGUGGAGCAAUCUCGCAAGGCGCGCGUCCUCUUUCCGUAGACCGCGUGUGCCCUUAGUUGUGGUGUGCGUAUUAUGGGAUGCGGAUCGUUUACUUUGAAUAAAUUAGAGUGUUCAAAGCAGGCUUUCGCUUGGAUACAUUAGCAUGGAAUAAUGGAAUAGGACUUUGGUUCUAUUUUGUUGGUUUCUAGGACCGAAGUAAUGAUUAAUAGGGAUAGUUGGGGGCAUUAAUAUUUAAUUGUCAGAGGUGAAAUUCUUGGAUUUAUGAAAGAUUAACUUCUGCGAAAGCAUUUGCCAAGGAUGUUUNCAUUAA
rnacentral:rRNA from 1 species